GAUGAACGCUGGCAGCGUGGAUAAGGCAUGCAAGUCGUACGCUCGUAGCAAUACGAGAGUGGCAGACGGGUGAGUAACACGUGGGAACCUUCCCUAUAGUUCGUAAUAGCUCAGGGAAACUUGGGGUAAUACCGGAUAAGCCCUUACGGGGAAAGAUUUAUCGCCAUUGGAUGGGACAGCGUCGGAUUAGCUAGUUGGUGGGGUAACGGCUCACCAAGGCGACGAUCCGUAGCUGGUCUGAGAGGAUGAUCAGCCACACUGGGACUGAGACACGGCCCAGACUCCUACGGGAGGCAGCAGUGGGGAAUAUUGGACAAUGGGCGCGAGCCUGAUCCAGCCAUGCCGCGUGAGUGACGAAGGCCUUAGGGUUGUAAAGCUCUUUUGGCGGGGAAGAUAAUGACGGUACCCGCAGAAUAAGCUCCGGCUAACUUCGUGCCAGCCGCCGCAGUAA
rnacentral:rRNA from 1 species